rnacentral:rRNA from 1 species
AGGACGAACGCUGGCGGCGUGCUUAACACAUGCAAGUCGAGCGGAAAGGCCCUUCGGGGUACUCGAGCGGCGAACGGGUGAGUAACACGUGAGCAAUCUGCCUUUAGCUCUGGGAUAGCUCCGGGAAACCGGGAUUAAUACCGGAUAAGACCACUUUAGACAUCUGUUGUGGUGGAAAGAAUUUCGGCUAGAGAUGAGCUCGCGGCCUAUCAGCUUGUUGGUGGGUAACGCCCACAAGGCGACGACGGGUA